rnacentral:rRNA from 1 species
GAUGAACGCUGGCGGCGUGCCUAAUACAUGCAAGUCGAGCGAACAGACGAGGAGCUUGCUCCUCUGACGUUAGCGGCGGACGGGUGAGUAACACGUGGAUAACCUACCUAUAAGACUGGGAUAACUUCGGGAAACCGGAGCUAAUACCGGAUAAUAUAUUGAACCGCAUGGUUCAAUAGUGAAAGACGGUUUUGCUGUCACUUAUAGAUGGAUCCGCGCCGCAUUAGCUAGUUGGUAAGGUAACGGCUUACCAAGGCAACGAUGCGUAGCCGACCUGAGAGGGUGAUCGGCCACACUGGACCUGAGACACGGUCCAGACUCCUACGGGAGGCAGCAGUAGGGAAUCUUCCGCAAUGGGCGAAAGCCUGACGGAGCAACGCCGCGUGAGUGAUGAAGGUCUUCGGAUCGUAAAACUCUGUUAUUAGGGAAGAACAAAUGUGUAAGUAACUAUGCACGUCUUGACGGUACCGAAUCAGAAAGCCACGGCUAACUACGU